ACGGUUUCCAUAUGAUCACCGAAAUUAAGCAAUGUCGAGACUGGUCAGUACUUCGGUGGGUAACCGCUUAGGAAUAGUAGGUGUUGUAAG